GACGAACGCUGGCGGCGUGCCUAAUACAUGCCAGUAGAACGCUGAAGCUUGGUGCUUGCACCGAGCGGAUGAGUUGCGAACGGGUGAGUAACGCGUAGGUAACCUGCCUGGUAGCGGGGGAUAACUAUUGGAAACGAUAGCUAAUACCGCAUAACAGUAGAUAUCGCAUGAUAGCUACUUGAAAGGUGCAAAUGCACCACUACCAGAUGGACCUGCGUUGUAUUAGCUAGUUGGUGAGGUAACGGCUCACCAAGGCAACGAUACAUAGCCGACCUGAGAGGGUGAUCGGCCACACUGGGACUGAGACACGGCCCAGACUCCUACGGGAGGCAGCAGUAGGGAAUCUUCGGCAAUGGACGGAAGUCUGACCGAGCAACGCCGCGUGAGUGAAGAAGGUUUUCGGAUCGUAAAGCUCUGUUGUAAGAGAAGAACGAGUGUGAGAGUGGAAAGUUCACACUGUGACGGUAUCUUACCAGAAAGGGACGGCUAACUACGUG
rnacentral:rRNA from 1 species